rnacentral:sRNA from 1 species
GUUGGGUGUGGUGAUGCACACCUGUAAUCCCAGCAGCUCGGGAGGUUGAGAGAGGAGGAUUGAGAGUUCAAAUUCAGCCUUAGCAAAAGUGAGGCACUAAGCAACUCAUGAGACCCUGUCUCUA